rnacentral:lncRNA from 1 species
AAUGACUCAUUUGGAGUAAAUCCAUGUAGAACUUGAAGGCGUUUGUGGUGUUGCUCCAGCACACAACUGCCAGUGAGCUGUGGGUGGGAGUGCGUGGUGCAAGCCAGGAUAAGCAGAGGGUGGUGCCCGAACCCAGAGUAUCGGCAGGUACAGCUUUCAGACGACAUCAGUUACUUCUGUAAGAGAGGACGUAUUCAUCACCACACACCUCCGCUAAUUUCCCAGCAAGUAAUUGACAACAUUAUUGAGGGAACUUCAUGAAGCUCACUGCAGGUAAAGAUGCCUAAUCCUUUACUAGAAAUAUCUUGACUGGGCCUUCAGCUUUUAUUGCCCAUUACAAUGUUUGUCCUUCAGGAGAUCAAUUGCUUGCAUUGAAAAAUGUGGCAGUAUAAUACUUCAGCUAUAAACAUCUUUUUUCCUUAAUGAGGAGGAGAAGAAAACAAAACUAGUAUUCUAUACUGAGCCUCACUAAGACAGUUUGGAACACUUUAUCUCAGUCAGUUUA